rnacentral:rRNA from 1 species
AUUGAACGCUGGCGGCAUGCCUUACACAUGCAAGUCGAACGGUAACAGGUCUUCGGAUGCUGACGAGUGGCGCACGGGUGAGUAAUACAUCGGAACGUGCCCAGACGUGGGGGAUAACGAGGCGAAAGCUUUGCUAAUACCGCAUACGAUCUAAGGAUGACAGCAGGGGACCGCAAGGCCUUGUGCGUUUGGAGCGGCCGAUGGCAGAUUAGGUAGUUGGUGGGAUAAAAGCUUACCAAGCCGACGAUCUGUAGCUGGUCUGAGAGGACGACCAGCCACACUGGGACUGAGACACGGCCCAGACUCCUACGGGAGGCAGCAGUGGGGAAUUUUGGACAAUGGGCGAAAGCCUGAUCCAGCAAUGCCGCGUGCAGGAUGAAGGCCUUCGGGUUGUAAACUGCUUUUGUACGGAACGAAAAGGCUCUGGCUAAUACCUGGGGCACAUGACGGUACCGUAAGAAUAAGCACCGGCUAACUACGUG